rnacentral:rRNA from 1 species
UACGUAGGUGGCGAGCGUUGUCCGGAAUUACUGGGUGUAAAGCGCGUGUAGGCGGGAGGCCAAGUCUGUGGUGAAAUCGCUCGGCUUAACUGGGCGGGGUCCAUGGAAACUGGUCACCUGGAGGUCGGUAGAGGCAAGUGGAAUUCCCGGUGUAGUGGUGAAAUGCGUAGAGAUCGGGAGGAACACCAGUGGCGAAGGCGGCCUGCUGGGCUGUUGCUGACGCUGAGGCGCGACAGCGUGGGGAGCAAACGAGG